rfam:Salmo salar isolate Sally breed double haploid chromosome ssa07, whole genome shotgun sequence.
UGCAUUCACUACUGUAAGUCGCUCUGGAUAAGAGCGUCUGUUAAAUGAUGUAAA